CGGCGGCACAGCUGGUAGGCUACGUAGGGGCUGCUCCUAUUCUAGCGAGGGCCGGGACAUCUGUUUGGGAUCGGGAGUGAAUAGGAGAGCGAACAGGAGAGGGAGAGACAAAGGAGGGAGAGCUCUACAGCAGCUACGUGGCAGCGAUAGGAGCGCUGGUGACCGGAGGGGCCGCUCGCCCUACAGCAGGUCCUCCUCGCGGCGGGAGAGGAAGCAGCGGGGCCCCCGGUCGGGUUCGAUCCUGCGGCGCAUCGGAGCGGUAGCGGAGAAGAAGGACGGUGCCAGCGGCGUGCAGGGGCGGUAGCUAGAGGUGGUGGCCCGGAGGGGCCGGUAGAGCUCGAGCGGAUGCUGGAGGGGUGAUGCUCUGGCUACGACGACGACGGGUCAAGCUGAUGCCUCAACUGCUGGGGAGGAUGAACGGUCUCGUUGGUCUACGACCUCAGGUCCUCGGUCUGCGGUGGCAGCUGCUGCUGAGGAUGCUGUGACCUCCACGGAUGAUGAUGCACGUCGGGUGACUGCUGCUGGUCCUCAUCAAUCCUCCUAGGGUCCGUCCUCCGGACGCGGAGCAAGCUAGACAUAGGGACAAACACGAUCGGAAGAAUUCCGUUUGAACAAAUUGAAUACAGACAUGAGUCUAUAACAACGAAGGCGACUUAGCAGAUACUAGCUCGUGAACAUAAGCUCGGGAGCUCCGGGGACCGAACAUAAUACUACGAACAUACUGAAUAAAUAC
rnacentral:rRNA from 1 species